AGUGCUUCUUCACAUUUCCACCUACUAAUCAUCUUCUUGUAAUAUGGAGUUAAUCAUCCAAGUAGGAACAUGAAUCCAAGUUCCUCAGACAUGAAUCUAAUAUGAUAUCCGAUCCCGGUUUUUUUCGGAUAUCCGAUCCGUUUCUACAAGACUCAGGUGCUACAAUCAGGCCCGAAAAGCUCAGAAUCGUUAUCUUGCUAAACUACUUACUAAGAUUGCAAAAAGAGCGAGGAGAAUCCCUCUGCUUGUUACAAAGAUGGAUCGCUGUGAUCCGGAGAAGUUUACCCUCUGUGCUUGAUCUCUG